CCGUCACCCUGAGACGGGCGGCGGCGGGAUGGCAACAGCCUCCGGGGCCUCGGACUUGUCUGGCUCCGGAGCGCCCCCGCCCGGUGUGGGAGCUCAGGCGGCGGCGGCCGCUGAGGAGGAGGAGCGAGAGGUGGUGCGGGUCCGAGUCAAGGCCCAUUGCUAGAAGACUGGGACAUAAUCAGCCCCAAAGAUGUCAUUGGCUCCGACGUGUUGCUGGCUGAGAAACGGUCAUCACUGACGACUGCCGCCCUGCCCUUUACACAGUCCAUCCUCACUCAGGUGGGCCGUACCUUGUCUAAGGUCCAACAAGUGCUGAGCUGGUCGUAUGGGGAAGAUGUCAAGCCCUUCAAGCCACCCCUGAGCGAUGCUGAGUUUCACACGUACCUGAACCACGAGGGCCAGCUCUCCCGACCCGAGGAGUUGCGCCUGCGGAUCUAUCAUGGCGGUGUGGAGCCCUCGCUGCGAAAGGUGGUGUGGCGGUACCUGCUGAACGUGUAUCCAGAUGGACUGACAGGCCGAGAGCGGAUGGACUACAUGAAA
rnacentral:sRNA from 1 species